GUCCGGACGACGAGUCCUAAAUAGAACGAAACACGUGUCUUAGAU
rnacentral:hammerhead_ribozyme from 1 species